CCUACGGGAGGCAGCAGUGAGGAAUAUUGGUCAAUGGUCGGGAGACUGAACCAGCCAAGCCGCGUGAGGGAUGAAGGUACAGAUUAUCGUAAACCUCUUUUGCCGGGGAGCAAGCGUGCGUUCGUGAACGCGCGUCGAGAGUACCCGGAGAAAAAGCAUCGGCUAACUCCGUGCCAGCAGCCGCGGUAAUACGGAGGAUGCGAGCGUUAUCCGGAUUUAUUGGGUUUAAAGGGUGCGUAGGCGGGAUGCCAAGUCAGCGGUAAAAAUGCGGUGCUCAACGCCGUCGAGCCGUUGAAACUGGCGUU
rnacentral:rRNA from 1 species